ensembl:lncRNA
AUGCUGGAUAAGGUGUUAGCUAAGUUGUCUAAAUGGAAUUGGCUAUUACCUGAACUAUCCUAUAGGGGUAGAGUCCUGGUCAUAAACAAUUUGGCUGCAUCCAUGCUGUGGCACAAGCUGAAUGUGCUAGAGCCACCUGAUAAAUUGAUCAAGGAUAUACAGAGAAAGUUGGUGGAUUUCUUUUGGUCAGGCCAGCACUGGAUUCCUGGGCCUGCUCUGUAUUUGUCAACCCAAGAAGGAGGACAAGGCCUUGUGGACAUCAGAAGUCGGAUCAAUACUUUUCGUUUACAAGCUUUACAGAGACUGUUGUAUGUAGAAGACAUCGAGUGGAGUAAUGUAGCGUGUGUUUUGCUGAGGAGUACAUCAUGUCUUGGAUACGAUAAACGGUUGUUUUUAAUUAGAACUAAUGAAUUGGAUUUGAGCAAUCUGACUUCUUUCUAUCGCUCCAUGCUACAAGCGUGGAAAAUGACUUUUUCUGUAAGCAGAGGAGUUGAACAUUUACAAGAAUGGAUUCUGGAGGAACCGUUGCUUCAUAAUCCAUUUAUUCAGGCAAAAUGUUUGUCUUCAGAAAGUUUGAGGAACUGUCUGAUUAGAGCUGGAUGUACUAAAGUUAAGAAUCUUAGAGACGCAAACGGAUGGAAAACUGAGGAAACAUUGCAGAAGAACACUGGAAUACAUUCUAGGCGUGUCGUGUCUCAGGUGCUGAAGGAAGUGAAUGCAGCUUUACCAGGAGUCUGCAGAGAAGCGUUAGGACUUCAACAAGUGCAAGAGGAGGAGAAAAACUGUGCGUUUCCAUUGAUUUAUGUGUCUGCAGUGGCAUUGGAGGAGUUUAAGGAAGAUAGCGGCAUGAUUUUGUCUUUUAAAACACCUGAAUUGGGGGCGUUUCAGGACAUUAGCAAAAAAGCACUUUAUUCUGUGUGUGUCAAAAUGUAUCACUGGCGUGUUCUGGAAAAAGUCAAGACUUGGAGGUGGUCAGAAUUGUUUGGGCCAGACUUUGGUGGCUGCUGGAGAUCUCUGUACAAAUCUCCUAUAGAGAAACGUACAGCAGAUUUACAGUGGCGGCUAAUUCAUGGUAUUAUAGCUACGAACAGACACGUGGCGCACCUGAAUUCAGAAGUUGGGAAAAAUUGUCCUUUCUGUGGAAUAGAAGAAACUGUGGAUCAUUUAUUUAUUCAAUGUAAGAGGUUAGGAGGUCUUUUUCGUAUUUUAAAAAGUUGGUUUGAAGGCUUUGGUGUAGAAUUUUCUUAUAAAAUUUUUAUAAGCAGUUUGAAAUAUAAUUAUCAAGAACGAAGAAAAUUGUGUUUAUUAAAUAAUUUAUUGGGAUCAGCAAAGUUAGCAAUAUGGAAAACAAGGAAGAACAAAUUAUUAGGUACUGGUUCAGUCGAUGCAGAGUGUGUUCUGAAAGGGUUGGUUGCCGCUCGAAUUAAAGUUGAGUUUUCAUAUUUUAAAAUGGUAAAUAAUGUUUUAGAAUUUUUAACUGUUUGGACUGUGGGAAAAGUUUUGUGUGAAAUUGUAGAUGAAGUGCUGAUUUUAUAUUUUUAA